CCGCGCAGGCGUAGUCCUCUGACUCGCGGGCCGCGCUCGGGUGUGCGGAGCGUGCACCAGCGUGCGCACCCCCUCCGGUGCGUGGAAAUGGAGGCAGAGAGGGCGCGCCCCCGUUGUGCUGGUGUCCGUCACCAUUAAGUCUGGGGAUGGAAAUAGCGAAGAGGAGCUUUGAACCCCUCGCCCGGCCGGGUAGUGCAGCUGUCACCCGGCCCGCCCUAGCGCCCUGCCUAAAUCGGAGGCUCCUUCCGAACAGUGCCCCAGCCUGCGCCCCCCUCUCCGGACGUGGGCCAGGAGGGUACCAGCCAGGCCGCCCCGACAGCCGCGCUACCGCUCCGAGCCUCGCGGGGUCACAGCACCCUACUGAGGGUUUGGGAGAUUGAAGCGCCCAAGCUGCGCUCUUUGCCAAGCCAGCGCCCACCGUGGCCUCGGACAGACACUUCGGUCUCCAAGGCACCCGCUCUGGGAGCUCCAAAGAGAGGGCGCGGCCAGCUCUACCCCUUCCCAAGGAGGGUUUGAGACUGACAUCUUGACACUGAGAACAACACCCUUCCUCGUUCUGAUGCCAGCAGCUUGCAGAUGGUUGAUGCUGGAGCGCUGGAGGCGGGUGUCACACACCUUUCCCCGGUGUUUUCUCAAGAACUACGCCAUCUGCAGAGAAGACUGGCACAGCAGGGAGGGUGAGGACAUAUGAACAUUGCAGAAAACAAAAUAUGUCAACUGCAGCUGCUGUCAUUUGAAGGCUUAUUUGGGCUGGACAUCCAAGAUGGCACACUCUGUGGCUGACGGUUGAUGCUGGCUGUUGGCUGUCUGGAAGCUCAGCUGAGACUAUGAACCAGAGCCUUCCCAAUCCCUCCAGCAUGGCAGACUUCUCACAUGGCAUCUGGCUUCCCUCAGAGUGAGUGUCUGAAAGGACCAGACUCAUGGCCUUUUCAGAAUUAUCCUAAGAAGUCGUGCUGCAUCACUUGCACUUUAUUCUACUAGCUACCAGCAAGCCACAAAAGCCAUCUCAGAUUCAAAAGAAGGGAAUGUAGAGCCCUCACCUCUCCCCAACGAAAUGGGGACAUGUUUUAAAGCUGCUCAAUUUCAUACUCCGUGGGCUCAUAUUUAUCUGUCCAUAAACAUACCUACAGGCAACAAGACUGUGACUGCCCACAACCAACAUAAAAAGUGUGCAUACACAUAAAAUACCCAGACACAUGCAUGCAUGAACACACACCUAUGUGACUUUUUCAGGGUAAUAUUUUGUAACUUUUCCCCCUUCCAGGCUUCCCAUCAUAUUUGAGAUUGGGGAGGGAGAUUGACCAAGCUAAAUAUAAAUAAUAGGGCUAUGAAAUGCCUUUUGUUCAAACUUUAAACUCAGAUUUUUAGUGAGGCCUCCAAAUCGUACAUCUACUUUUAAAAAAUGACUCUAUCGCCCUAACUGGUUUGACUCAGUGGAUAGAGCGUCGGCCUGUGGACUGAAGGGUCCCAGGGUCAAUUCCAGUCAAGGGCAUGCACCUUGGUUUCGGGCACAUCCCCAGUGGGGAGUAUGUAGGAGGCAGCUGAAUCAAUGUUUCUCUCUCAUUGAUGUUUCUAACUCUCUAUUCCUCUCCCUCUCCAUUCCUCUCUGUAAAAAAUCAAUAAAAUAUAUAUUUUGGGAAAAAAAAGACUCUAUCUUUGAGCCCAGCAGAAAGGUCAGUAGAAGGAUUUUGAAUGUUCCUGUUUGUUUUGGAAGAAAAAUAAGGAGUCCAUUCUGAC